ACUCAUCAAUGAUGCUACAUCAUACAGCUUCUUUGUCCUUCUAGGACUCCUCAAUGAUGCUAAGGUCAAAGAAGACAUCAUCUAAAGAGGAAAUGUAUCAGGAUAAGUGGAAAAGUACACAAUACAUGACUAAAGAGAGCAAUGAGUCUGUCUCCUACAGCCAACCGGCCGUCCUGUUCAGCUGCCCCUCCCUCGAUGAUUUUGGUGACAAAGAUUCCAUUAUCUCCUGGUAUAUGUUGAUUGCCGAUACCUCCAGCAAUACUAAAACCUAACCCUGUAAUUCACCAGGUUUUUACAACAAAACAAAAGGUCCCCCUACUUGUUACUGUAGAAUCAUUACCUUGCAUGGGUGUAACAAGUUUAACUAGAAAUUGUCUAUUAUAAACAGUUUCUAAUCACAAUCUAACAGCAACAGAUAAACAGACUGAAGAAAUCAUGCUUAAUACACAGAGGAAUAUCUGUGAAGAGGAGAGAGAGUAGUUCAUCAGUAUUACAAUGAUGUGAUAAAAGGUGGACAUCAAAGUACUGUACAGAUGAAAAAAUGUGAAAACGGGAAAAUGUGUUGGGAAUCAAUUUAACGAUCAGUCAUCAGAUCACCUGAACCAAUCGAUGAUUGAUUGAUAAUAGAUUACUGAAAGGGAAUUUCCUUUUCUCAGUGAUAAAUUAAUAACAUCAUACAUUAACGUCUGAAUUACCAAAAGUUAGAGUGCUAUGUACUUCAGGCUUUCUUGCCCAGAAAUUUAUGAAGGAUGGACUCCACAAUUCUAAUUUGGCAAAUAAUAAUUAUUAAGGAGCAUGUCGACUAACUAGUCUGAUUCAAACAGACACUUGAUCACGUUGUAAUGUUUGUUGAGAGGAUCAAGAUUUGAGAUGCUUUUCAGUUAAUAGUAGGGAAAUGUAACUGUCACCUCUUAUUUACUGAUGAUUGAUUAGGAGACAUUGUAGUCUAUUAAUUAGUUAAUUAGCAUAUCCAACCAAUACUCAACCAAGUUGAUUUAUUGGAACAUCACUACCUCACAUAUGAAAAUUUCCUAAGAGCUACAAUGUACUCUACGAAGAAAUGGAAGAUAUUUUUUUAUUCAAAAGUGCAGGAUGGAUGUUAAAAAUAGAAAACGUCUGCACAACAUGAAUGCCCAAGCUCCAAUGCAUUCACAGUAAGAUUGUUUGAUGAAUUUGUAAAAUGUGACCUUUGACCCUUUACCCUUGACCAAUAUGACAUCACAUAGAACAUGCUGUUUCAGUACUAUGGGGUAAAUAUGAACCAAUUUUGUUCAUAGAUUCUCAAGACUGACAUUGGUUUGAAGGAUGAAGCGAUGAGACAUUACAUAUUUGGACAAUAUACAUGGACAUGGCUCCAUUUAAAAUGGCAGGAGAAUGAAAGAUUAUAGAAUAAAAACUCUUACCAAAACCACCCGUGUUCCCGCUUGCUUCAGUGCGUCAACCGCCUCGGAAUGUGUAGCAUUAGAUACAUCUGUCUCAUUCACCUUGACGAUGAUAUCGUUCAUUCUGAAAAACACAAACAAGUAUUACAAGACUUUGACAAUUCCAAAAAUGUAAACAAAUCGAUACUUAACAGUUCUUGGCAUUUUGUUCUUUUCUUCUAUCUGUUAUGAUUACAAACUCACGUCCUACCAAUAGUAGGGUCUAAUAGAGAUGAUAUUCACAGAUGAUUGAGGUUACUGGAAACAAUCUAUGCUAUGAAAACUAUGACAAAACAAACAGGAGCCAAAGAGAUCACCAUCCAAUAAUUCUAGGCUUGCACGAAGCAGGCAGUCAGUCCUUGCAAAAUUUUAUCAUUUUGGUCAAGAUUUAUUUCCAGCACUUUGUAGAGUUGAUACUAUUCUCCCAUUUAGUGUUUCCACCUUGUACAUCAUCUUGUUGUACAUUUCUCCUACCGUACUGAGUGACAAAAGAAAUAAUGUCUGUAGUGACUGAGGCUAGACGGACUAAGUUAUAAAG